rnacentral:rRNA from 1 species
GAUGAACGCUGGCGGCGUGCCUAAUACAUGCAAGUCGAGCGAACGGACGAGAAGCUUGCUUCUCUGAUGUUAGCGGCGGACGGGUGAGUAACACGUGGAUAACCUACCUAUAAGACUGGGAUAACUUCGGGAAACCGGAGCUAAUACCGGAUAAUAUUUUGAACCGCAUGGUUCAAAAGUGAAGGACGGUCUUGCUGUCACUUAUAGAUGGAUCCGCGCUGCAUUAGCUAGUUGGUAAGGUAACGGCUUACCAAGGCAACGAUGCAUAGCCGACCUGAGAGGGUGAUCGGCCACACUGGAACUGAGACACGGUCCAGACUCCUACGGGAGGCAGCAGUAGGGAAUCUUCCGCAAUGGGCGAAAGCCUGACGGAGCAACGCCGCGUGAGUGAUGAAGGUCUUCGGAUCGUAAAACUCUGUUAUUAGGGAAGAACAUAUGUGUAAGUAACUGUGCACAUCUUGACGGUACCUAAUCAGAAAGCCACGGCUAACUACGUGCCAGCAGCCGCGGUAAUACGUAGGUGGCAAGCGUUAUCCGGAAUUAUUGGGCGUAAAGCGCGCGUAGGCGGUUUUUUAAGUCUGAUGUGAAAGCCCACGGCUCAACCGUGGAGGGUCAUUGGAAACUGGAAAACUUGAGUGCAGAAGAGGAAAGUGGAAUUCCAUGUGUAGCGGUGAAAUGCGCAGAGAUAUGGAGGAACACCAGUGGCGAAGGCGACUUUCUGGUCUGUAACUGACGCUGAUGUGCGAAAGCGUGGGGAUCAAACAGGAUUAGAUACCCUGGUAGUCCACGCCGUAAACGAUGAGUGCUAAGUGUUAGGGGGUUUCCGCCCCUUAGUGCUGCAGCUAACGCAUUAAGCACUCCGCCUGGGGAGUACGACCGCAAGGUUGAAACUCAAAGGAAUUGACGGGGACCCGCACAAGCGGUGGAGCAUGUGGUUUAAUUCGAAGCAACGCGAAGAACCUUACCAAAUCUUGACAUCCUUUGACAACUCUAGAGAUAGAGCUUUCCCCUUCGGGGGACAAAGUGACAGGUGGUGCAUGGUUGUCGUCAGCUCGUGUCGUGAGAUGUUGGGUUAAGUCCCGCAACGAGCGCAACCCUUAAGCUUAGUUGCCAUCAUUAAGUUGGGCACUCUAAGUUGACUGCCGGUGACAAACCGGAGGAAGGUGGGGAUGACGUCAAAUCAUCAUGCCCCUUAUGAUUUGGGCUACACACGUGCUACAAUGGACAAUACAAUGGGCAGCGAAACCGCGAGGUCAAGCAAAUCCCAUAAAGUUGUUCUCAGUUCGGAUUGUAGUCUGCAACUCGACUACAUGAAGCUGGAAUCGCCAGUAAUCGUAGAUCAGCAUGCUACGGUGAAUACGUUCCCGGGUCU